GUAGAUUCCUGAAUUGUUCCCCAUGCAAGCCCAGCUCCUAGCCCAGCAAACCCAAGCGCCCUAGAAAACGGAGUCGAAGGAACUUUCCUCUCCCUCGGCUUCCUCCUCUUCAAUUCCGUCGCCACUGCCGGCGCAACCUCUCCGCUACCCGCAUUUCGUUUAUCCUCCCGAUUCCGAGUCUGGAAACCAUCUUUCUCCAAAUCACCAAGUUCAUUCCUCGAAACCUGAUUGUCCUCAG
rnacentral:misc_RNA from 1 species